UUUCAAUGUUAGAAAAGCACAGAGAUCUUUUUUGGCACUGGUUCAGGGAUUCGGAGAUUUACAAUGGAUGGUGUAUAUGGAGAAAGAUAAUGUCUGUUGAGAAAUGAGCUGGUGAGAACUCCGGGUGUCACAGGACCCAGGCCAUCUGCACAAUCUCUCAGAGGAAGACAGUCUCUCAGACGCUCAGUUCUCUGGCACACACAGGGAGAAGCUUCUCUGAUUAACUCUGGGAGCCACUUUAUUUUCCUAUGUUCACAAGCCUGGAUAUUUAGAAGCCUGUUUGAUACUGUGUCACUUUAGUUACACAUCAAUAAUAAUUUCUCUACUUGGGCCUAUGACCACCCUGGACAGGGGAUGUAAGCUGGGCUUCUAGUACCCAGCACAGUUCCUCCCCAACAAGACACUUGUGCAGCACUCCCAAAAUAUAAUCAGGGGGCAGUUGGUUCCUGCUACCACAGUCACUAUUGCACAGUGACAGCUGGCUAAGGACAGCUGUGUGAAGAAGAGGGCCCAGGAGAGCAGUGAGAAGUAUGCAGAACAAGAACUCCAGCACAGAUCAGAGGGAUGCUCUCAUGAGAACUCUGCCCAUCAGCAGGCUGGCAUAUGAGAGAAUAUUCAGAAGAGAAAGAGGAAGACGAGGGAAAUGAUUUGAAGAGCAGACGGUGUGAAGGGCAGACGGCAGCUUGAAGUAUCCCCAUUAGACAAUCCCACAUAGUGUGAGCUCAGUUCUGCUACUGAUGCUGUAACGGAGAGCUGAGUGCCACACACUAAAAAUGAGGAAAAUGACACCACAGACACAGGCCAAAUCAUCCAAGGCAUGCUCAUACUCAUUAUCACUAAGGUGUUGUAUUUCUUGAUUUGGAAGCUCCAAGAAAUAUGCAGACAUAUAGCCAUAUCAUCAAGACUACACUGGAGUGAAUUGCAGUGAUUUAAAAUGUGAGAUUCUGAUUUUAGAAUUCACUCAAUUUCCUUAUUUAAAUUCAGUGUCCCUGAAUUGCUUAUGAAGUGAACAACAUGAAGAAUGCCUGUUUAUAAAUGCCAUUUUAAGGAAAAUCAAUAACCAUUAUACGGUUUCUGCUAUCCUUGGCUCUCUGAGAUGAUAUGAAUCUAUUCAUAUAGCAGGUGUUGUGUGAAUCUAAACCUCUGGGGAGGGGAUUAAAUAAAAAAAAUUUCCGAAUCUGAACCAAAUAAGAGAAAAUGAUAUCACUUCUACAAUACAGAAGCCUUUUAUAACACUACUUCCCCAUCAUUUCUUCAGUUUGGCUGUAAGUUGGGUACUACCUAUAGACAAUGAUCUUAUAACAUCCACUGAAUGCAUUACAAGCAGUAAAGCCCAUGUUAUGUGCUACACACAGCACCAAAUUAGAAAGGUGUAAUUUCUGAUGUCUUGGAGGGUGGGCUACAGUGGGGCACAGAGACAAACAGGAGCACAAACAUGUAGACUCGCUGAAGCAAGCAGGAAAACAAGAGGCUUCGUGGGUCACAGUCUCUAGAAGAUCAGACUAAUAAAAGGAAUACAGUUAAAGGGGAUUUGAUGGGUUAUCUUGCUCGGUGUGGUCUGAAUAAGUCAACCAGGGCUAGCUUACACCAGGGAAGCCAGG
rnacentral:lncRNA from 1 species